AAAUAGAAAGGGAGGGGGAAAAUGAUGGAGAUAAUUGAGAAAAACAAAUAACGAAAGGAGCAGUCCAUAACGUACGACCAAACCAUGGUUGUAAUCCAACUGUCGUUUCUCUCUCUUCCUUUUUUUUUUGUUUCUCUCUCCUUUUUGACUUUAUGGGUCUAAAUCUCAAUCCUGUUGUAAAGGGAAGGGGAGCUUCCUUCGUUGAACAAACCAACACAAUUUGACAAAAUCCCCCAAACGGAACUCUCUUCUCCUUCGCUUCUCCAUUUUCCCCAUUAAUUCCCCUUUAUCCAAUUUCUCUCCCCCCAUUUCCAUUUAAUUCCAUUUUCUUACCCAUAAAAUCUCCUCUCCAACUUUCCAACCUAAUCCCCCUUCUCAAUCUCACUUUUUAUACUCACCCUCUUCCUUUCUUCUCUCUGUCUCUGUAAUGGCGCCUCCUCUGCCUCUGUUUUCCUUCCAUGGAAGCAUCGCAAAAUAGGAUCCCAGAAUUUCAGGGCAUUUUAAGAAGAAUCGCCUAAGGUUUAUUCGGGAUUCUCCGUUCUGAUUUCAGGUUCUUGCACAGCCGGAAAGGAGUUUUCUGUUUGUAGCAUAGAUCGAUAAUCGAUAGCUAGGAACAAGCAGAUCAUUGACUGUCAUGCUGUCAAGUUCUUGCUUGAGUUUGUUAGAGUUAUCAUCAGUGGAUAUGCUGGAUUUUCCCCAUACACCGAGAACUGUUCCGCGGGUGAUGACUGCUUCGGGAAUAUUUUCUGAUAAGGAAAAAGAUUUAGAAGUUUCCUCAUCGAGAUCCCGUGGGAGAAAAAUAAUAGUGGCAAAUUUCCUUCCUCUCCAUGCUAAAAAGGAUCCGGAUUCUGGGAAAUGGGUCUUCAGUUUUGAUGAGGAUUCGCUUCUUCUUCAACUUAAGGAUGGCUUCUCCUCUGAUGUAGAUGUUAUAUAUGUUGGAUCGUUAAAGGUUGAUGUCGAUGUCCGAGAACAAGAUGAGGUUUCUCAAAGACUGUUGGAGGAGUUCAACUGUGCACCGACUUUCAUUCCUCCGCAGCUUCAGAAACAGUUCUAUCAUGGAUUCUGCAAACAACAUUUGUGGCCGAUUUUUCACUACAUGAUGCCAAUUUCCCCUUACCACGGUACACGGUUUGAUCGGCGUCUUUGGCAGGCGUAUCUUUCUGCCAACAAAAGGUUUGCAGAUAAAGUUAUGGAGGUAAUCAAUCUGGAAGAAGAUUAUGUAUGGAUUCAUGACUACCACCUUAUGGUUCUCCCUACUUUUUUGAGAAAACGUUACAGUCGAAUUAAGCUUGGAUUCUUCCUUCAUAGCUUGUUUCCCUCAUCAGAAAUCUACCGAACUCUGCCCGUCAGAGACGAGAUUUUGAAGGCAUUACUAAAUGCAGACCUAAUUGGUUUCCAUACAUUCGAUUAUGCUCGCCAUUUUCUGUCUUGCUGUAGUAGACUGCUUGGUCUGGAGUAUGAAUCCAAACGAGGCUAUCUCACGCUCGAGUAUUUUGGCCGUACGAUAUACAUCAAGAUUUUGCCUGUUGGAGUUCAUAUGGGUCGACUUGAAUCUGCAUUAAAUCAACCCCAAACUUCAAUCAAGGCCAAGGAAAUCAAAGAAGAUCUCCAAGGAAAGAAGGUUAUUCUUGGUGUUGAUGACAUGGACAUAUUUAAAGGUAUUGGUCUUAAGUUAUUAGCUAUGGAACAGCUCCUGAACCAGCAUCCCGAGUUACGGGGCAAUCUUGUCCUGGUGCAAAUUCUAAAUCCAGCACGGAGCAAUGGGAACGACGUUCAGGAAGCGAAAAGGGAAACUUAUGAGAUAACCAAAAGAAUCAAUAAGGCCUUCGGUUUUCCGGGAUAUGAACCUGUAAUCUUGAUUGAUCAUCCUAUUCCUCCUGAUGAGAAGAUUGCGUAUUAUGUACUAGCAGAGUGCUGCAUUGUAAAUGCUCUCAGGGAUGGUAUGAACUUAGUUCCAUAUGAGUACAUUGUUUGCCGACAGGGAACUUCACAAAUGGAUGAAGUUUUGGAAGUCUCCCCAAGUUCUCCUCGUACCAGCACGCUUGUCGUGUCGGAAUUUAUAGGUUGUUCGCCAUCUCUAAGUGGUGCGAUCAGGGUGAACCCAUGGGAUUUUGAUGCUGUAGCUGAUGCACUUUAUGUGGCUGUCACUAUGCCUGCUUUAGAGAAGCAACUGAGGCACGAAAAGCACUACCGAUACGUUAGCUCUCAUGAUGUCGCUUACUGGGCUCGCAGUUUCUCGCAAGAUUUGGAGCGAGCAUGCCGAGAACACUACAGUAAACGCUGCUGGGGCAUUGGUUUUGGUUUAAGCUUCAGAAUUUUGUCACUUUCUCCAAGUUUCAGGAAGCUUUCCAUUGAACAUAUUGGCUCUGCAUAUCGAAGCGCUUCUAGGAGGGCGAUUUUUUUGGAUUACGAUGGGACCGUGGUUUCCCAAGCUUCGUUGGUCAAAUCCCCGUCUCCUGAAGUCAUUUCCAUCCUGAACAAUCUUUGCAUGGAUUCAAAGAAUACUGUGUUUAUAGUCAGUGGUAGGGGGAAGGAUUCUCUUGGUCCAUGGUUCGAUUCGUGUAAGAAUCUUGGUAUCGCUGCUGAACACGGAUACUACUUGAGGUGGAAUAGGGACUCUGAUUGGGAAGUUAGUCCAUUAGCUGAAAACUUUGGUUGGAAAAGAAUAGCAGAACCUGUGAUGAAACUAUAUACUGAGGCAACCGAUGGCUCAUACAUAGAGACCAAGGACAGUGCCUUGGUAUGGCACCAUCAAGAUGCCGAUCCUUAUUUCGGUUCGUGCCAGGCCAUGGAACUUCUGGAUCACCUUGAAAACGUUCUUGCCAAUGAACCUGUAGUUGCCAAAAGAGGCCAGCAGAUCGUUGAAGUAAAACCACAGGGUGUGACUAAAGGAUUAGUUGCUGAAAGAGUUCUUGACACAAUGAUCAGCUCUGAGAAAGCACCCGACUUUGUGAUGUGCAUUGGAGACGAUCGAUCCGACGAAGACAUGUUCGAGAGCAUAUUGAGUAGAAGCUAUAGCUCAUCUCUUGUUACUCCUCCCAAAAUAUUUGCCUGCACCGUGGGGCAAAAGCCUAGCAAAGCCAAAUACUAUUUAGACGAUACCGCUGAUGUUUUGACCUUGCUUCAAAGCCUGGCCACCCCUUCUAACCGUAAAUCGAGGUCGAGUUUUGAAACUCGUGUUUUGUUCGAGGAUGAUGUUUGAUGCUGAAGAUUCCAUCUCUUGUUGCACUUACAUUGAGCCAGAGUUCUUGAGAUGGGAAUGCUUGUUACUUUCGAUUCUCUUUUUCCAUCCUUCACAGAUCAGACCGGAGAUCGAUCCUCCACGGAGUCGGGAUCAUCUCUUUCAUUUGAGAUCACCCGAUUCUUUGCCACUGUCACGGUGCCAAUGGAUUCAGAUUCAGGAAGAUGACUGGAGUGAGUUGGUUUGGUGGUGUAAAUAACUGCGCAUUCACGACACGCGUUCUUCGCUUCUCCCCGAUCCGGGAAGUAGCAGAACAAGAUCAACUGGAACCUAGGAACGUCAUUGAAUCCCUCUUGAAUUCUCUCCAUUUCCCUCCGUCUUCCUCUCGAGAGUGGAGAACCCGUGCCUUCCAAUGCUCUGUGACAUCUCGAUCUUCUUUUCACUGCAAUUGCACGAUGAUCAUUGGCUUCUUCUUCUGUUCCUGCUUUUCGACGCAUGAGGAAUUCCAUCGCCAUUGAUAAUUCCCCCCUUAGAGACCCUCAGAAACCGAAUCAAGUGCGUUUUCUGGUUUUCAUUGCAGUUUUCUAGGGCAUUGCGAUUCGAAUCAUUCUCUUUCUCGUUACAGAGCGUCGUCUUCUUCUCGUUGUACGAUCAUACAUCCUUCGAUACACCUUAUACGGUUCUAGGUUUCCAUUUCUCCCUACGGAUCAGAGAUGUUUGCAGUGAUGACGAGCUAUGCAGAUUCCAUGAAAGCAUUACUUUCAAGAAUCAAAAUCAUUCACAAACACUCCAAUGCAAUGCGUAUGUUGAGCAAUUUCCUUCGUAGUUAAGUUCAUUAUUGAGUUUGUGAAAAUUAAUUUGAUGAAAAUGAAGAGAAAAUUAAAAUGUGUGUUAAGACUUAAGAAGAGAAUGGUAAUGAUUUGUUUGUUGACGCUGUUGCUUCAAUCCAACACAAGGCCUGCCUGUGGAGCCUCUAAUCAAACUCAUAAGUUGGUGUGAUUCUUUGCUUUCAUAUCACUUUCUCUGCUCACCUUUGUUUUCAACUCACUAAUGUUUUGCUUUCCCAUUUUUACUCAAGUUUCUAACCUGUUUAGUUAACUAUUUUUUUAGUAUAGUACUGUCAGGACAGAACUAUGUUCGUGUUGGUAGAAGUUGUUUUAGUCUACGAUGACCUGAUAUGUUUUAGGAAUAAUUAAAGUUAUUUUUCCCUUAAAAGUCACCCAUUUGUAAAACAUG